AUGCUGAGCAGAGGAAGGACAGGAAUGAAACUGCGGGCACUGCUCCCUCCCCCCGGGCCAGCACACCGACCCUGUGCCAUUUACCUGUCCCUCCACGGCAGCUGGGGGACCAUUCCGAUCACCACCUGGCGCUUCCGCCCACUUUGUGGAUGUGCUUUGUGCCCUGGCUGGGGUCCCGGCCAGUGUGGCACGCGGGCCCUUCAUUCAUGCCUGGUGCCUGCCACCCUCCAGGCAGAUCUCCCAGCCUGCGCACCCCCUCGGAGCCCCAGGUGUGUGUUGAGUGCAGUCCCUAGAACGCUGGUGGUGUCCUCAGGCCCUUUGCACGGUCGUCCUCUCUGCCUCCCCUGUGUGUUCAGCUGCUGUUCCCUCUGCUGCAGCCGUAACCUGUCAGCAGCGUCCUCCCAUGCCCGCACUUUCCACGCCUCUUCGCCACUGCUGACUUCCCAGUUGUCUGUGCCGUGUUCUCCUAAAGGGCAGGUUUUGAUUGCUCCCCCGGGCCUGCGGCGGCGUCUGGAGUGCAGCAGUCACUCGGUGAGUGAUUCCGGGGUGGGUGGGCAGCGGGGAGUGAGUGUCGCUCAGGACCUGGCCCGCGUGCUCUGUGUGUCCUCCUCUGGGGGUGCAGCAGGCCGCAGGGUGGAGGGGGAGCAGGAAACUCAGCCAGGGGCCUUGGAGGACCAGCGUCUUCCCCUGCCCCGGAGAGCUCCCUGCCCGCGAGGCCUCACUCACCAUCCUACCGGGGACUCAGGGGUGAAGAGGGGACACUGUGGCCAGAAGGGCAAGGGUCCCAUCCUCCUCCCACUGCCCAGGAUCCCGCAGUGUCGGGACAAGAAGACCGGUGGGGGGGGGGAUGGGCCCCACCACGGGCCAGCCAGCCCUCCUGUCCUGCCCGGCCCUCUGCCUAGGGAGUGGCCGGCAGGAAGGGGGCGGGGUGGGGGGCGGUGCUGGCUGCCCUUGGCUUCACACUUGUUCUAUGGUGAGCGCCAGGCCCGAGCCCCUUUCCACGCAGAAAUCACGUCACCUACGCCUCUGCCGUGA
rnacentral:lncRNA from 1 species